AAGGGGGUGGAGAGACAAAGGUCCUUGUGGAUGGGUGGGGUGGGAGGAAGGCGGGGGAAGCUUUUUUUCCUCUUAAAGGGGCAGGACUUAUAUCCGGGAUUGUGGGGUGAGUUGCAGCAGCGGUAGCUGCACAUGUGGGUUUGUUUAUAAGAACAAGGUGAGGUAGGUGGUCAAGACAUGGAUAUAAAGCUGCAUUUCUGAGUUCAAAAGCAGUAGGAAGGCUGCGAAACCUUUGACACUGCCAGACUGCGUUUGCAUCAUCUUUUUGACUUUUGAGGGCAGUUGAUUCAGUUUGCAUCCUUGAAAUGGAUCCCAGCUCUUCAGAGGCGAGAACCGAAGUUUGGAGGUAGACGAGCAGGCGAGCGGUUUGCCCGGGCGCAGAGCAUGAAG